AUUCACAAAAAUCAAUGUUUCAGUCACUCACAGGAGACAGUGUAUGUGUCAUUAAUUUAGCAUUAACAAAAUAUUAAGUCUCAACAAGAAAAAUAUAAACGAAGAAAAAAAGACACAUUUUCAAUUUUACUUGCAACUACAGUAAGAGUCCAAAGUAUAUAACUUGUACUGAUUUCAAGAAUGCCUCAUUUAUUUUGGAUUGUAAUUUGUUUAAUUAUUGAUGAAUGCUGAUCUGUUUUGCAGGCUGAAGAAAAGGCAGAUGCCUUGAACAAGGAGUUACUGAUGACUAAACAGAAACUGAUUGAUGCAGAAGAGGAGAAGAGACGAUUGGAAGAAGAAUCUGCUCAGCUGAAGGAAAUGUGUCGCAGGGAGCUUGAUAAAGCAGAGUCAGAAAUAAAGAAAAA